rnacentral:rRNA from 1 species
GAUGAACGCUGGCGGCGUGCCUAAUACAUGCAAGUCGAGCGAACAGAUGAGGAGCUUGCUCCUCUGACGUUAGCGGCGGACGGGUGAGUAGCACGUGGAUAACCUACCUAUAGGACUGGGAUAACUUCGGGAAACCGGAGCUAAUACCGGAUAAUAUAUUGAACCGCAUGGUUCAAUAGUGAAAGACGGUUUUGCUGUCACUUAUAGAUGGAUCCGCGCCGCAUUAGCUAGUUGGUAAGGUAACGGCUUACCAAGGCGACGAUGCGUAGCCGACCUGAGAGGGUGAUCGGCCACACUGGAACUGAGACACGGUCCAGACUCCUACGGGAGGCAGCAGUAGGGAAUCUUCCGCAAUGGGCGAAAGCUUGACGGAGCAACGCCGCGUGAGUGAUGAAGGUCUUCGGAUCGUAAAACUCUGUUAUUAGGGAAGAACAAAUGUGUAAGUAACUAUGCACGUCUUGACGGUACCUAAUCAGAAAGCCACGGCUAACUACGUG